GCUUGGCUGGCUCGGUUGGUGGAGCAUGCGACUUUCGAUCUCAGGGUUGUGAGUUUGUGCCUCACGUUGGGCG
rnacentral:tRNA from 1 species